UUUUUUUUUUUUUUUUUUUUUUUUUGUUUUUUAAUCUGUGUGAUGUGAAUUGCUUAUGCCCCACUCCCAGGAAAGUUCCUGUGGGCAGAGGCUAUGUGGGUCCCACGGGGAAGUUUGGGAAAAAUCCAAAACCCUCCAUCAGCUUCAGAAGCUUACAAUAGGACGACAGCCUAAUAAUUAUUCAGAUCCAAUACUCAACUGGGCCACAUGGUGUAGGAAACAGUAAGGAUUAAAAGCUCACCAUUGAAACUUUGAUGAGCCAUAAAAAUUACCCAUCAGGCUAAUAUUUGUCUUUUUAGUUCAUCCAAUGGGAAUAACCUGAUGAACAGUUUGGAUGCUGUAUAAACAUUAUGCUGAGCUCUGGGAAAGCUUGGACUGUGGGCAUUUCCAUUCUCACUGUUUCUUGUCAUGUGGCGCACUUGAAUUUUGGAUCUGAAUAUAAAAUUGUUAGGUUUCUUUACUAUUGUGAGCUUACCAAAAUGAUGGAUGGACCAAUUAGAUUUCUCACUGACAUAACGGUGGGCCUGACAUAGCUACGACCCACAACAACUUCUAUGGGCCGGUGACUUCUCCUUUUAAUACUUAUAGGACACCAAUAAGGUUUCAGAUAUCAAUGAAUUUAAUCAAUGUAUAUGUAAGGGAGACAUGUUCACAUCUUGGAUCGGACCAAAAUUCCACAUUUGGUGCUUUCUUUCUCACCGAGUAUGGGAUGGGCGGUGAAGCUUCUACACAAGGAGAUGUUUACAGCUAUGGAAUCCUUCUUUUGGAGAUGAUAACUGGAAAGGGGCCAACUGAUGAGAUGUUUAAAGACAAUCUAAGCCUUCAUCAUUUCUCCAAGUCUUCGUUGCCUGAACAUGUAAUGAAUAUUGUAGACCCAUUUCUUUUAAUAGAAGCCAGAAGCCAGUGUUACUCAAGACAGUAGAAAUCAUACCAAUGCAAGAUAUAGAAUGUGUGACUGCUUGACUUCAAUGGUCAGAAUUGGUGUGUUGUGUUCUUUGGAAUCACCCACUGAACAAAUGAAAAUGAAAGAUGUUGUUGUGGAAAUGCAUGCAAUCAAGGACUUAUAUCUUGGGGUCAGGAUUCAAAGCAACAAACAAGUUAGGUCGCUGCAGUUAGGCGAAGGUCCAUCUGAACUCAGAAAUUACUGAGACAUCAUUCGUAGUUAUGUUGAGAUAGAUUUCAAAAUAAAAUAUGUUUGUUAAUAAGCUUUAAAUAUAUUUACUCUUGGCUUAUGAAGAUGUCUUUCUUUUUUUCUUUUUUCUGUUUUUCUUAGUUUUAUCCUGGUGUGAGGCAAAGGGAGACUGUAUCAUGAAUGUAGGAGGAUAAAGAUAUCAUCUUGUUAUAAUAAAAGGCAUAUUGAGUUAUUAAGAUGUUUAAUUGAUGAAAGAUUUU